rnacentral:tRNA from 1 species
GAAAAUUACAAUUCUUGACCAGAGAAAACUCUGGGAACACUCAGGUAUCGUAAGAUGCAAGAGUUCGAAUCUCUUAGCAACCAACUCAGGUAUCGUAAGAUGCAAGAGUUCGAAUCUCUUAGCAACCA